UUAUUAUUUUGGCAGAUUAGUGUAAUGAAUUUAGAAUUCAUAAAUGUGAUUAAGAUUACAAAUA
rnacentral:tRNA from 1 species